GACAGAGGGUGCAAACGUUGUUCGGAAUUACUGGGCGUAAAGCGCGCGUAGGCUGCUUCGCAAGUCGGGUGUGAAAGCCCUGGGCUUAACCUGGGAAUGGCCGUUGAAACUGGCGAACUGGAGUGUGGCAGAGGGGGGUGGAAUUCCGCGUGUAGCAGUGAAAUGCGUAGAGAUGCGGAGGAACACCGAUGGCGAAGGCAGCCCCCUGGGCUAACACUGACGCUCAGGCACGAAAGCGUGGGGAGCAAACAGG
rnacentral:rRNA from 1 species